rnacentral:rRNA from 1 species
CUUGGUGGCUAUAGUGGAAGUGUUACACCCGAUCCCAUUCCGAACUCGGAAGUUAAGCCUUCUAACGCCGAUGAUACUGCGCCCCGGAGGCGUGGGAAAGUAGGAAGCCGCCAGGC